AACGCACAUUGCGCCCCUCGGUAUUCCGGGGGGCAUGCUUGUUCGAGCGUCAUUACACCCCUCCAGCCUCGCUGGGUCUUGGGCGUCCGCGGUCCGCCGCGCGCCUCAAUGUCGCCGGCCGGUGCGCCUGUCCCCGAGCGUCGUGACCAUUCGGUUCGCUCGUGCGGGUCAGGGGCGUUGCGCCGUCAAAACCUCUCCAUUCAGGUUGACCUCGGAUCAAGUAGGGAUACCCGCUGAACUUAA
rnacentral:misc_RNA from 1 species